rnacentral:rRNA from 1 species
AGUGAACGCUGGCGGCGUGCUCAACACAUGCAAGUCGAACGAGAACGGAAUAUAGCUUGCUAUAUUUGUCAGCUAAGUGGCGCACGGGUGAGUAAUGUAUAGAUAACCUGCCCUUAAGAAAGGAAUAACAGUUGGAAACGACUGCUAAUGCCCUAUAUGCCUUUAAUACAUAAGUAUGCAAGGGAAACGCUUUAGUGCUUAAGGAUGGGUCUGUAUGGUAUCAGCUUGUUGGUGAGGUAAUGGCUCACCAAGGCUAUGACGCCUAACUGGUUUGAGAGGAUGAUCAGUCACACUGGAAUUGAGACACGGUCCAGACUCCUACGGGAGGCAGCAGUGGGGAAUAUUGCACAAUGGACGAAAGUCUGAUGCAGCAACGCCGCGUGGAGGAUGACACAUUUCGGUGCGUAAACUCCUUUUAUAUAGGAAGAUAAUGACGGUACUAUAUGAAUAAGCACCGGCUAACUCCGUGCCAGCAGCCGCGGUAA